GGUGCCGUAGCCAAGUGGUAAGGCAGAGGUCUGCAAAACCUCGAUUCGGCGGUUCGAAUCCGCCCGGCACCU
rnacentral:tRNA from 1 species